AACGGACAGCCGCGUGAAUUUGCCGAAAGGCAUUUUCAUGAGGAAAGUCCGGGCUCCGCAGGGCAAGGAUAACGGGUAACGCCCGCCGAAGGCGACUUCAGGAAAAGUGCAACAGAGAUAUACCGCCCAUUCUGCACAAGCGUAGAAUGAGUAAGGGUGGAAAGGCGAGGUAAGAGCUCACCCGCCGCAUGGGAACAUCGCGGCGCUGUAAACUCUAUCCGGAGCAACACCGUGGAGGAGACGCAUGGUCUGCCCGACCGUCUCCGAGGAGGUGGCUUGAGCACAUCGGCAACGGUGUGUCGAGAUAGAUGGCUGUCGAUCACAGAACCCGGCUUAUAGUUCCGAUC
rnacentral:RNase_P_RNA from 1 species